rnacentral:ncRNA from 1 species
UUUCCCCAACUUGUAAUCAUCGAUUAACUCUCGUCGAAAGCGAUUCUGAAGAAGAUAGAAGGAUAGCUGAGUGCGUAAUGAAGCUGUUACAUUCGGUAAAGCGAAUGAUUAGAGGAAUUGUGGGACGAAACAUCUUCAAUCUGUUCUCAAACUUUCAAUGAGUAUGAUGUCUUGCUUGCUUGAAUGAAGCGUAAACAUUGAAUGUGUGCUCCGAGUAGGCCAUUGGCGCGCUGUGGGAUGAGCCA